rnacentral:rRNA from 1 species
UACGUAGGGCGCAAGCGUUGUCCGGAAUUAUUGGGCGUAAAGAGCGCGUAGGCGGCUUGUCGCGUCGGUUGUGAAAGCCCGGGGCUUAACCCCGGGUCUGCAGUCGAUACGGGCAGGCUAGAGUUCGGUAGGGGAGAUCGGAAUUCCUGGUGUAGCGGUGAAAUGCGCAGAUAUCAGGAGGAACACCGGUGGCGAAGGCGGAUCUCUGGGCCGAUACUGACGCUGAGGAGCGAAAGCGUGGGGAGCGAACAGG